AGGUAUGCUAAUUUUAUGUGAAAUUUUAUGAUAAUCCAAUAGUGCAAUUGGGAGAUAUUUGGGUUUUGGUACAAGAAUGUACCAGAAGUUGACAGUUUGGAGUUGGAUAGAAUUUCUAUGAUAACUAAAGAUCUACUAAUUGGAUCAAGGUGAAAUUUAGCAUGGUAUUAGAAGACUUGAAGAUUAAGCUACAUAUCACUUUUGAAUUGAAGUUAACAUUUGAAGAAGGAUAAAUUAUUAAUAAAACACUUGCAUCAACUUUCAAGUUGGUGGCCAUGUAAUAUUAGUGUGAUUUUUGAGUAUUUUCUCACAAUCUGUAAGUUGGAUUGGAGUGAAUUCUUAUCAAGCACAUAGA
rnacentral:lncRNA from 1 species